rnacentral:rRNA from 1 species
GAUCUGCUUGUGUAGUAUAAAUAGUUAACUUUGAAACUGCGAAUGGCUCAUUAUAUCAGUUAUAGUUUAUUUGAUGAAGAAUACUAAUUGGAUAACCGUAGUAAUUCUAGAGCUAAUACAUGUAUAAAGUCUUGUAGACUGCAUUUAUUAGAAUGAAAACCAUAGGUUUCGGCCUAUUCGUGAGUAAUAAUAACUAAUCAUAUCGUAUGCUUAAGUAACGAUGUGUCUUUCAAGUUUCUGCCCUAUCAGCUUUCGAUGGUAGUGUAUUGGACUACCAUGGCAGUAACGGGUAACGAAGAAA